GGCAAGUCUGGUGCCAGCAGCC
rnacentral:ncRNA from 2 species